rnacentral:rRNA from 1 species
AGGGAAUCUUCCACAAUGGACGCAAGUCUGAUGGAGCAACGCCGCGUGAGUGAAGAAGGUUUUCGGACCGUAAAGCUCUGUUGUUGGUGAAGAAGGAUAGAGGUAGUAACUGGCCUUUAUUUGACGGUAAUCAACCAGAAAGUCACGGCUAACUACGUGCCAGCAGCCGCGGUAAAUCGUAGGUGGCAAGCGUUGUCCGGAUUUAUUGGGCGUAAAGCGAGCGCAGGCGGAAGAAUAAGUCUGAUGUGAAAGCCCUCGGCUUAACCGAGGAAUUGCAUCGGAAACUGUUUUCUUGAGUGCAGAAGAGGAGAGUAGAACUCCAUGUGUAGCGGUGGAAUGCGUAGAUAUAUGGAAGAAUACCAGUGGCGAAGGCGGCUCUCUGGUCUGCAACUGACGCUGAGGCUCGAAAGCAUGGGUAGCGAACAGGAUUAGAUACCCUGGUAGUCCAUGCCGUAAACGAUGAGUGCUAAGUGUUGGGAGGCUUCCGCCUCCCAGUGCUGCAGCUAACGCAUUAACGCACUCCGCCUGGGGGAGUACGACC